rnacentral:lncRNA from 7 species
UCAAUCUGCACUUCACUCAGAGCCUCUUGGUCCUGGCCACUGUGAGUCCCUGGUCCAGGAUCCAAAGUAACUCAGCAGAAACAAACUUCCAACUAAAAAUCCCCUCGAAUGUCUCCCAGGGAAGAAAUAUAGCUCCUAUAAUUACAGGAGGCUACCGCCGGAGGGGAACGCAGCCCGCAGCCAAAAACCAAGAAAGGAUGGAAAUGGAAAGGAGCCUGAGGAAAAGAAGGUCCAGUGACAGGCCCAAAGUGGGGUCCAGCUGAAGGGGAGGUCCCAAGGCCUGACACUAUACUGAGGCUGUGGAGUGCUCACAAAAAGAGACCUAGCAUGACCGCACUCCAGAAGACCCAACAAGCAGCUGAAAGAGUCAGAGGCAGAUAUUUGUACCUAACCAAUGGACAGAAGCAGUAAACUGUGUUGUUGAACACAUCCCCACUAAAGAUGCACUAUCAGUGAACAGUCUGAAGCUCUACAGUGUGUGCAAAUGGAAAGUUACAGUGAAAAUCUGGGGACUCUUUCUAUAGCCUCAUACAUUAACAGUCUUAGAUCAAGGAAGAAUGCACAUCUUGAAUCCAGGACAACAAAAACAAACUUGAUCAAGUAGUUUCUUGGGAUCAUUCGUUCUGCUCACAAGCCU